rnacentral:lncRNA from 1 species
AUGGCACCAGGAAGAAGCAGCAGGAAAUGCAGAGUGAAAUUCUUCCACACAAGCUGCUGCCAGACCAUCGCCCACUGUGUCUGGAGAGUCCCUGCAUGCUCAGAUACAGAGCACAGAAUAAACCGUGACCCUGGGGAUGUCUGCAGGUUCCUGGGUUGCUGUUUGUGCUGUGGAUCCUGCUGUAAGCACACCGUGACUGCUGCCUUGACAUUGUGCCGAGCUGACAUCCCAACCGGUCUGACACUGAUGCCUUUGGGCAGAAAUCAGAGCCGGUUUGCUCCAUGGCUCGGUGCAGCCACGACGCCUGUAGCGCCUCGCAGAGCCCCCAGUGCCCUGCUGGGGAAAUGGAGCGAGCACGUGGGCCCCAGAUGA